rnacentral:lncRNA from 1 species
UUUUUUUGCAAGUAAGAUGUUUGAAUGCGUGAGGUCCGUGCCAAUUUUCAGCACGUUUGAACAUCUGAGUAGCUCUCGGCAAAAAAAGGAUCCAAACAGUGCACGAACAAUAAACUUUUCACAGACCCUGAUUUUAUUUUUUAUAAGAGCUACUCAGAUAUCAAAACACACUCAAAUUGACAAGAACAUCACGCAUUCAAACAACUUUCAUGCCAAAAAAAUUAAAAAAUGUAAAAUUUCUAGUAUUUUUCUAUUUUACUGUUCACGUCGCAGUCGCGCGCCGCCACACUCACUUGCACAAAGAAGGGCCUGGCAGCGAGCUCAAGACAUCAGAAGUGUAUCUUGGAGCGACGGAAGUAGAGCCCACAUCCGUCCACUGGCUUCGACGAAUCCGAGUCAUGGAAGGUGGCAGGGAGGAGGUACAGCGAGUCGGCGACGACUGGGUCGAGGAGACGAUGAGCGUCGAGCGGGGAAAGCAUGAGGUCAAGGAGAGGUGUGGGAGGCCGGUGGCGGCGGUGCCAUACUUGGGAUCUUACGGAUUUAAGGAAAAAGGCAAUGGUGGGUGAGUCGGGGCACUGUGGCUCGACAACCAGUGCACGGCGUUGGUCGAACGGUUUGGAUCUGGUGGCAGGUUGUAGGAUCGAAAGGAGUGUCUAGGAGGGGUGAAUAGACAACUAGCAUGAGUCAAUGGGCAAUCUUAAGUUCUUUAACAUUUAGGCGGAUUUUAGCACAAUCUAAAGUAGUACAAGCAUACUCUACACAAGCAUACCUAGAGCAUAGGCAACAGAAAGAAAAAUCGGUCAUGCCCGUGCAAGAAAGUAAGGAGUAGAAUUUGAGAGAAUCGCAAACAAUGGUUGACACAGAAGAUUUUUGACCCGCGGUCCCGAUAGGUCGUGAUAUCGUACGUCCACGGUUGAUGGAAGCUUCAAUCAUAAGGAUUACGUUUAUGGAUUCCAUAGAGGAAUCGAGUCCACAGAGGGCUCACACACACGAAGGAUCCAUGAAGAAGCAACAUUGCCUAUUCCAUCAUGGCAUACACCCAUGAAGGGUUGGCCUCACUAGGGUAGAUCUUCACGAAGUAGGCGAUUUUCUUGCCCUCACAAACUUCUUGGUUUCUCCACACGAUUUGGAGACUCCCAAGCAAACCUAGCCAAUCUAGGAGGCACCAUCCUCCAAAAGGUAAUAGAUGGUGUUGUUGAUGAUGAACUCCUUGCUCUUGUGCUUUAAAACAUAAUCUCCUUAACACUAAUACUCUCUCAUAGAUUUUGACUUUUGGAUAGGAGUGGUUUGGGUGGAAAGCAAUGAGGUGACUAGAAAUCAAAGGAUCAACGGUUCGAGUGGAUCCCUUUGAAAUCAACACAAGGAAUGGGAGCUCUCUCUCUCUCUCUGAAAUAUGGAUGUGUAAUGUGUUUACUUCGAGAGACAAUGGUCGAGUGGGUGGGGGCAUAUAUAGGCGGCACAAAAAACUGACUGUUACGCACCUUUUAGCACAUCUUGGUGAGACCGGCUGAAAACACACGGUCAGACCGAAUAGUAGAAAUGUUUGAACUUUAGAUACUUUGGUGACUCCAGAUGAAACUAUCCGGUGACACCAAGUUGUGCUCACCUAAGCACUUUACACACUUCGGUAAUUCUGACUGAAACCAUUCAGAAAUUCAGAACGAGUUGUAGUAGGCAACACAAGGUUAUAAGUGAUCUUCGGUGAGACCAAAGGGUCAACUUGGUGGGACCGAAAAGUUAGGGUUUUAGGCAACGACUAUAUCAUGAUGGCUCGGUGACUCUGAUUGGUUUGGUUCAGUGAGUCCGAGUUGAACUUUUAGUUUGUGAAAUAGUGGGAUCAUGUGAAAUGAUAUGAGGAUUUGGGAGUUUGAUCUUUAAUCACUUGAGCAAUGAACUCAUCAUCUCCUCAUAAGUUAGAGACCUUUCGGUCCAAAAAACUGCCCUAAGCCAAUGUACAACGCAAUGCACUUAGGAGAGGUGCUUAAAGAAAUAAAUUAUUCUUCAAGCACCGAUGCUUAUUUGUAGAAGGUACAAGCCUAAUUAGAGCAUCUCCAACGCCGACCCUUAACCGCCCGCAACCGCACGGUCCAAACGUGUUUUGCCAUCCAACGCGGUUCUAUAAUAUGUAUCAGUCCAGACAUGUUUUUCCUCAAAAACCGGAAACAAACCGGGGUACUUUGCGGGCGUCUGGACCGUUGCCACGCCCGCAUCCAACAACCAUUGCCCACCCAAACCCUCCCCUCGCCCGCGCACUUUCCCUCUCGAAGCCAGCUAUUCGCGUGCCGCUCUAGAACAACCGCUCCGCAUUGACGCCGGGACGUGACCUCUCACUGGCACCCGCACUAAAGCGGAUCACUUGCCGAGGGCACCACCCACGCCGCGUUCCCGGUGUCCGCACAUGUUCAAUGCCGGAGUGACGUUUACUGGACGGGAUGGGACGGAUAUCUACCGUGCCCGUUUAAUGCCUGUUUGUCCGUCUGCCACCAUUAGUAGGCUCACCGGCCGAGGAAUCAACUCCGACGCCCGCGCAUUUGGCGCACUGGGAUGCUUAGCCUCACCGAAGUGUGCUAUUUAAAGGCGACCACAACACAUCCACUCCACAUCUUCCUCCCGUGCACCACAUCUGCCACGACCGCGAACGGGAACGCUUUCUGGAAGAGCCUCUCGACCCAGCAAAAACACGAGGUGGCCGCCUCGCAGAGGCGUCGUGCCAGGCAGAUCGAGACCGGCAUGUCGGCCAGCUCCCUCGUGUCUUCAACGGCAACCCCAUGACGGAGAUGGGCUUUGGCGACGACUCGGCGCGGGAGCCCGCGCCGGUGCAUGCCGACUUACCAUGGAGCAAGCGAGGCGCACUUCACUGUGGCCAUGGCGGAGGAGGGCAAAUUUGACAAAUUUAACCUAUAGACGAAAUCAAAUCACAGAAUGAACUAUCCGUGAAACUAUUUCACGCGGCUGACCUUUUUGUGUGACGCCCGACACGAAGGCGCCACACUACACUGUGUAACGCCUAACAGAUAGGCGCUACACGGCCAGCGUCGCACCCGUGUGAUCAGAAAAUUACUAAGUCAGUGUGCAGCGCCUGAGAGCUAGGCGCCACACUAUACAGUGUAGCGCCUAGCUCCUAGGCGUUGCACUAGUGCAGCGCCUAGCUCCCAAGCGUUGCACUAGUGCAGCGCCUGAGAGCUAGGCGCCAUUGCACUAGUGCAGCGUCUGAGAGCUAGGCGCCACGGGUCAGCCGCGUGAAAUAGUUUUACGGACAGUUCAUUCUGUGAUUUGAUUUCGUCUAUAAGUUAAAUUUGUCAAAUUUGCCGCAGAGGAGCAGCCUGUGUUGGCACCUAUUCCGGUAUUCUGCAGGCUUACAACUUGUUCCUCUCCUCCUCGUGCAACCCCAGCUGGCGGAGGGCCAAACCUACAGCAAGUGUGCGAGCGAGGAGGUCGUAGCGGCCAUGGCCACGGCGAACCCCAACUUCUUAACGCAGAGCUGGCGUAGCCAGAUGCGGAUGUGGCGCUGGGAUAGAGGACAAGAAGACAAGAACACUGCGCGUCCUAUGUGCAGGCAGGAUCAUUCGAGGGCGCAUGUGGCAGGAGGGCAGGCAUUUUCAUGUUCAGCCGGAAGAGUUUAGACAAGACUCUAAUUAGGCCUUGAACAAUCAAAAAAUUGUUUUUUUGUUAAACACGGAUCACAGGAGAAACGAGGCACCCCUCAUGUAAUUGGUGCUUUUUAGAAAGAAAAAAACUAAUAUUCGUAUUUUCUUAAGCUUUGCUCAUUGACUCCCCGGUGAGGCGGUACGGAUGUUCCGUUAAGCAAGGUUCCCCUACCAUAUCUGCAGUCGAUUUUGUUGCCGUGAGCAAAUCCCACUGGAAGCACUCUUAAGCAUACGAAUUACUAGUUCAGGCGUCUCCAAGCGAACAGAAGACACAUGCAUGAAGAUUCUACCAAGCACAGAAGCGCCAUUUAUUACCAAAGCUCUCCACGAACCAUUUCUACUGUCACUUGAAGAUAAUUUAACUAGGUACACCACUGACGGAUUUGUUACAGUAUUUCUCGCAACGGGAUACAGAAUCAGGCAAAACCGGGGCCAACACAUCCAACGACCAACUCUCGUCCCCCCCUCGCAAAAUCUGGCGUUGGAAGCUGCCUUGCCAAAACAUGUUUCCCCCUCCUCUACCUGUCUGCUGCUAGACAGACCGAUGCUCAGAGCUCGUCCUUCAGAGGCUCG